rnacentral:lncRNA from 1 species
GAUAAGGUGGUUUGUCCGACCUAAACCUUAACCAGAGAUCAAAAUUCCAUUUGCCCGAUAAAAUAAAGCAUUAAGAACGUUGUAUAAUAAUUUGAAUUAAGAAAACGUCGAUGAUCAUAAAAACAUAGAAAAAGUGUUCAUACAAUAGCAAUUCAGGGACACCCCCCUAGCAUUGGGGGGUUUAGCUUCUCAUAAUAUUCAAAGAAAACAAAUUACAAAAUAAAGACAUUACAAUUAUUUGGUGAUAAAGGUUGAUCUUCAAUCUUUUCCGAUCUUG